AAAUGGCAAUUCACUCCAAUAUUCUUGCCUGGGAAAUCCCAUGGACAGAGAAGUCUGGCAGACUAUACACCAUGGGGUAGCAAAGAGUCGCAUUGGACUGAGCAUCUAAACAGCAACAACAAUAUGUAUCUGUAUCUGUCUAGCCUGAAAAGAAAGGAUAUUAAUAAGCAGGAUCCCAGUUAUUCCAGCCGGGAAUUUUAUAACAUCACCUCCCUUAAACCUCCUAGACAAUCACAUGAGGAAACGGGGGAUUUGCCAAGAUCUGGCAGCUGAUGAAAUCAGGUGGGAUCAAAUCUAGAUCUGAUGAGCCAGAAGCCAGUAUUCUCAGCUGACUCUGUUCCACCAACUUCCUGGUCAUACUCAAAGUGGGAAAAAGAAAGGUUUCAUGAAGAUCUUCAGAAAGAAUAGAAGGCUAUUGCAUCUGAUUGGUAUCAGCCUUUGUCACAUUCAGCAAGCAAGACACACUGGUCAAUAUGAAGGCCUCUUGCAUUGGAUUUGGCUUCUGAUUCAUCAUCUUCAGCGUCAGGAUAAUUACGGAUUUGCUUUCAACAGCGGAUUCAUAUAUCCAGUGGGUCAUUAACUCCAUUUCAGUGACACUCACUAAACACCUUCAUUGAGCUUACUGUUCUGACAGGCACUGUAGAAAACAUGGUCUCUUCAGGCAAUAAAAUCUAAUUUAUUUAACUUGUCAUAUUAUUGUAAUUUAGAUGUAUUUCCUAUAGUUUGCUCAUUUUAUCUUUCAUUUCUCAGUUUUUUGAAACAUCAGAGCAAUAAGUGGUGCAAUAGCUGCUUAGUAAAUUUUUUUAUGCACAUUAUUCUUCUGCUUAUGAAUUUGUAAACUAAUCAGUUCAUAUGCUAAUCUGCUAUGGAUCUGUGUUAUUUAAUUAAAUCUGAAAAUAGUAUAUUAAUAUUUAUCAAUGUUUAACUGACUAAAGUCAACCUUAUAUAUAUAUUUAAAUUAAGUAUCACUGUAAACAAUGGAACCAUAAAAAAUUCCUGAACAUUUUGGGUCAGAUUUUUCAAAUCUGAGAGGAAUGAAAAGCUCGGGUUAUCAGCAGUAAUCUUUUAAAACUCAGGGUGCUUGAAGGCCAGCCAAAAUUAUAAUGAGCUUGAAGCAAAUUAUCU
rnacentral:lncRNA from 1 species